AGAGUUUGAUCAUGGCUCAGGACGAACGCUGGCGGCGUGCUUAACACAUGCAAGUCAAGGAGAAUUCCGGCUUCGGUCGGAUAGUAAACUGGCGUACGGGUGAGUAACACGUGGGUAAUCUACCUUCGGGAUUGGGAUAACGGUUCGAAAGGGCCGCUAAUACCAGAUAAUGCCUCGGUUUUGUUAUCGAGAUGAAAGAUGGGGAUCUUAGGACCUAUCACCUGAGGAUGAGCCUGCGUCUGAUUAGUUAGUUGGUGAGGUAAUGGCUCACCAAGACAGCGAUCAGUAGCUGGUCUGAGAGGAUGAUCAGCCACAUUGGGACUGAGAUACGGCCCAAACUCCUACGGGAGGCAGCAGUGAGGAAUUUUGCGCAAUGGCCGAAAGGCUGACGCAGCAACGCCGCGUGACUGAUUGAAGCUCUGAGGAGUGUAAAGGUCUGUCGUUGGGGGAGAAUGUAUCCGAUGAGAAUAUUUUCGGAUAGUGACGGUACCCGAUGAGAAAGCUCCGGCUAACUCCGUGCCAGCAGCCGCGGUAAUACGGGGGGAGCAAGCGUUGUCCGGGAUCACUGGGCGUAAAGAGCGCGUAGGCGUCUCGAUAAGUUUCUGGUUAAAUUCUUCUGCUUAACGGAAGGCCUGCCAGAGAAACUGUCGGGAUUGAGUUCAGAAGAGGAAAGCGGAAUUCCUGGUGUAGCGGUGAAAUGCGUAGAUAUCAGGAAGAACACCGGUGGCGAAGGCGGCUUUCUGGUCUGACACUGACGCUGUGGCGCGAAAGCGUGGGUAGCAAACAGGAUUAGAUACCCUGGUAGUCCACGCCGUAAACGAUGGAUACUUGGUGUUGGGGGCUCGACCCUUCCAGUGCCGUAGUUAACGCGUUAAGUAUCCCGCCUGGGGACUACGACCGCAAGGUUGAAACUCAAAGGAAUUGACGG
rnacentral:rRNA from 1 species